rnacentral:lncRNA from 1 species
GGAAGACACUUCUGGGAAUGCUCAGUGAUUUCAGAUUUUCCAGUCUACUUGUGGAGCUAUGCUAAGUGGCUGAUCUUUGACAAAAAUGGAUUAAUUUCAGUGAAAUUACAGUAAUUGGUACUACCAAUUUCUAGUCUGUUUCUAGCCAAUCAUUUACUAAUUGCUCACUGGUGCAACAGAAAGUGAAAGUAUGCCUCGCCAUGAAAACUUUCAGGUUACCGUCACAUAAGAUAAUCACUAUGGUGACUUUAUUUCUCUGUGAGAACUUCUCAUGGCUUCUUCAAAAUUUCCAGAGAAAAUUGCUCUUUUGCUGAAGAAGCUUUCUUUCUUUUUCACCCCACUGAUGAAGUGCCUGAGGCACCAAAUGAGGAUACAGCUUUGGAAGAAUUUCAAGACGGGAACCGUCAGUCAUACAGGAGAAAUCCUGUACCUCUAUACUUGCUCCAGUGUUGAGAACACAGCACCAUGCCUUUUCCUUCUGAAAAUUUGUGUGUCCCAGGUUUUGCUACUUGCAUCAGUGAUGGCUGGGUGUAGAAGGAAAAGCAGGAGUCUGGACUAUGCAUCAGGUCCUGAUGAAACAGAUGAAGUUCUGAACAGAGCAAAAUAA